ensembl:lncRNA
AGUGUGAGAGAGAGAAAGGGAGAGAGAGUGAGUGUGAGAGAAGAAGAAAGGGAGAGAGAGUGAGUGUGAGAGAGGAGAGAGAGAGAGAGAGAGAGCGCUCUGUGUAAGAAAGAAGAAUAAAAAUAAGUUUUUCUGUCAUUUCUGCGCCCAGAGAGCGACCCCGGACUGUACAUGUACUGUAUAUUUAGUAGUUUUGAGGACUACACGUGUCUUUUAACUUAGGAGUCGCACUACAUCAGCGCUGUCUGUAAACUGAAAUGUUUCUCCAAAAUACAACAAAAGUGUGUUUUAUUAACAUUAAA